UCGGGGUACACGAGCGGCGAACGGGUGAGUAACACGUGGGUGAUCUGCCCUGCACUCUGGGAUAAGCCUGGGAAACUGGGUCUAAUACCGGAUAUGACUCCAGCAUGCAUGUGCUGGGGUGGAAAGCUUUUGUGGUGCAGGAUGGGCCCGCGGCCUAUCAGCUUGUUGGUGGGGUAAUGGCCUACCAAGGCGACGACGGGUAGCCGACCUGAGAGGGUGACCGGCCACACUGGGACUGAGACACGGCCCAGACUCCUACGGGAGGCAGCAGUGGGGAAUAUUGCACAAUGGGCGGAAGCCUGAUGCAGCGACGCCGCGUGAGGGAUGAAGGCCUUCGGGUUGUAAACCUCUUUCAGCAGGGACGAAGCGUGAGUGACGGUACCUGCAGAAGAAGCACCGGCUAACUACGUGCCAGCAGCCGCGGUAAUACGUAGGGUGCGAGCGUUGUCCGGAAUUACUGGGCGUAAAGAGUUCGUAGGCGGUUUGUCGCGUCGUUUGUGAAAACCCGGGGCUCAACUUCGGGCUUGCAGGCGAUACGGGCAGACUUGAGUGUUUCAGGGGAGACUGGAAUUCCUGGUGUAGCGGUGAAAUGCGCAGAUAUCAGGAGGAACACCGGUGGCGAAGGCGGGUCUCUGGGAAACAACUGACGCUGAGGAACGAAAGCGUGGGUAGCAAACAGGAUUAGAUACCCUGGUAGUC
rnacentral:rRNA from 1 species